AUUGAACUGAAGAGUUUGAUCCUGGCUCAGAUUGAACGCUGGCGGCAUGCCUUACACAUGCAAGUCGAACGGCAGCACGGGCUUCGGCCUGGUGGCGAGUGGCGAACGGGUGAGUAAUACAUCGGAACAUGUCCUGUAGUGGGGGAUAGCCCGGCGAAAGCCGGAUUAAUACCGCAUACGAUCU
rnacentral:rRNA from 1 species